CGAGCGGGAGCGGGCGGCUGUGCUGGGCGGGUUGUGUGGAGCCGUGACGAGCGGUGCGGGUCGAGGGCGGGAGGGGCGGCUCGCGAGCCAUCCCCGGCAGCGCCUUUUCCUUUUUUAAUCGAGAGGCGGACGGGCCGAGCCGUGCCGUUAUCACCCUCCGCGGGGCGACCCCUGAGGAAGCAGCGGCCCGGGCUGCUCGGCUCCCCGCUCUGCUCAGCCCGAGCCCGGGGUGCGUGAGUUCCCGGUUCGGAGGCGGCCCGGCUUCCUCACAGGCCGUGUGGGGUGGGAGGGGGGCGGGGGCUUUUUUUUUUCUUCCGUCGGUUUUUCCUUUUUUUUUUUUUUUUUUUUCCUAUUUUUUUUUCCCCCUCCUGAAGGAGUGAAGCGGGCUCUGUGCUUUGGGGGGGGUCUAUGGUGAUAGCACGGUGGCGUUGGGGGACAGAGCGAGGGGCUGAGGAGGGGGCACCCCGCCGCUGAAGAGGAGGAGGAGGAAGAAGAAGCAGCGAGGCUCCAUUUGCCGCUCCCUGCCCCGACCAUGGAGAACGCGCACACAAAGACUGUGGAGGAAGUUUUGGCGUAUUUCGGGGUCAACGAAAGCACCGGGCUCAGCCUGGAGCAAGUGAAGAAGCUGAAGGAGAAAUGGGGCUCCAACGAGUUACCAGCUGAGGAAGGAAAAACCUUGCUCGAGCUUGUGAUUGAACAGUUUGAAGACUUACUAGUUAGAAUUCUGUUGCUGGCAGCUUGCAUAUCUUUUGUGCUGGCCUGGUUUGAAGAAGGUGAAGAAACAAUCACAGCAUUUGUAGAGCCUUUUGUAAUCUUACUUAUAUUAGUAGCCAAUGCAAUUGUGGGAGUGUGGCAGGAAAGAAAUGCUGAAAAUGCUAUUGAAGCUCUUAAAGAAUAUGAACCUGAAAUGGGUAAAGUGUAUCGACAAGAUCGGAAGAGCGUUCAGAGAAUCAAAGCAAGAGACAUUGUCCCAGGUGAUAUCGUGGAAGUGGCAGUUGGAGACAAGGUUCCUGCUGAUAUAAGAAUCACUUCUAUCAAGUCUACAACUCUAAGAGUAGACCAGUCCAUUCUCACAGGUGAAUCUGUGUCUGUAAUUAAGCACACUGAUCCUGUACCCGAUCCUCGUGCUGUAAACCAAGACAAGAAGAACAUGCUUUUCUCUGGUACUAAUAUUGCUGCUGGUAAAGCUAUGGGAGUGGUCAUCGCAACAGGAGUCAACACCGAAAUUGGCAAAAUUCGUGAUGAGAUGGUGGCUACUGAACAAGAGAGAACCCCACUCCAACAAAAGCUGGACGAGUUUGGAGAGCAGCUGUCUAAAGUCAUCUCACUUAUCUGCAUCGCGGUUUGGAUAAUAAACAUCGGUCACUUCAAUGAUCCGGUUCAUGGUGGCUCCUGGAUUCGAGGUGCUAUCUAUUACUUUAAGAUUGCUGUUGCUCUUGCUGUUGCUGCUAUUCCUGAGGGCCUGCCUGCUGUUAUUACCACCUGCUUGGCUCUUGGAACCCGUAGAAUGGCCAAGAAGAAUGCAAUUGUUAGAAGUCUUCCCUCCGUGGAAACCUUGGGUUGCACCUCAGUUAUUUGUUCUGACAAGACUGGUACUUUGACCACCAAUCAGAUGUCAGUCUGCAGGAUGUUCAUCCUGGACAGAGUAGAAGGAGAUAGCUGUUCUCUGAAUGAAUUUACUGUAACUGGUUCGACAUACGCUCCCAUGGGAGAAGUGCAUAAAGAUGACAAACUUAUUAAGUGUAGUCAGUACGAUGGCCUUGUGGAACUGGCAACGAUCUGUGCGCUCUGCAAUGAUUCCUCUUUGGAUUACAAUGAAGCAAAGGGAGUAUAUGAAAAAGUUGGUGAAGCUACAGAAACAGCACUUACCUGUCUGGUUGAAAAGAUGAAUGUAUUUGACACAGACUUGAAAGGACUUUCACGAAUUGAACGUGCAAAUGCUUGCAACUCGGUGAUAAAACAACUCAUGAAGAAGGAAUUCACUCUGGAGUUCUCAAGGGACAGAAAAUCAAUGUCUGUCUAUUGCACACUGAACAAACCAAGCCGCACGUCCAUGAGCAAGAUGUUUGUUAAGGGUGCUCCUGAAGGUGUAAUUGAUAGGUGUACACAUGUCCGUGUUGGAAAUGCUAAAAUACCAUUAACCUCAGGAAUUAAGCAGAAAAUCAUGUCUGUUAUUCGAGAGUGGGGAACUGGUAGAGACACACUACGUUGCUUGGCGCUGGCAACCCAUGACAAUCCUCCUAGGAAAGAAGAAAUGAAUCUCGAGGACUCCUCAAACUUCAUUAACUAUGAGACCAAUCUGACCUUUGUGGGCUGCGUGGGAAUGCUGGAUCCCCCAAGAAUUGAAGUAGCUUCCUCUAUAAAGCUGUGUAAACAAGCUGGCAUUAGAGUGAUUAUGAUUACUGGUGAUAAUAAAGGCACAGCAGUGGCCAUUUGCCGACGCAUUGGUAUCUUUGUGGAAGACGAAGAUGUUUCUACCAAAGCUUUCACUGGCCGUGAAUUCGAUGAGCUCUCACUCGCUGCCCAGAGAGAUGCCUGCCACCAUGCCCGCUGCUUUGCCCGCGUGGAGCCUUCUCACAAGUCUAAAAUCGUUGAAUUCCUUCAGUCUUUUGAUGAGAUUACGGCUAUGACUGGUGAUGGUGUCAAUGAUGCCCCUGCAUUGAAGAAAGCAGAAAUUGGAAUUGCUAUGGGCUCUGGUACUGCAGUGGCUAAAACUGCUUCUGAAAUGGUUUUAGCAGAUGAUAAUUUUUCAACCAUUGUAGCUGCUGUGGAAGAAGGACGUGCGAUUUACAACAACAUGAAGCAGUUCAUCCGUUACUUGAUUUCUUCCAAUGUUGGAGAAGUUGUUUGCAUCUUCUUGACUGCUGCCCUGGGUUUUCCUGAAGCUCUGAUUCCUGUCCAGCUGUUAUGGGUGAACCUUGUGACAGAUGGUCUCCCUGCUACUGCUCUGGGCUUUAAUCCUCCUGACCUUGAUAUCAUGAACAAACCACCCCGCAACCCCAAGGAGCCACUGAUCAGCGGGUGGCUCUUCUUCCGUUACCUGGCGAUUGGAUGUUACGUUGGUGCUGCCACUGUGGGUGCUGCUGCUUGGUGGUUUAUUGCUGCUGAUGGUGGUCCGAGAGUAACCUUUUACCAGCUGAGCCAUUUUCUGCAGUGCAAAGAGGACAACCCAGACUUCUCUGGUGUCGACUGUGUGGUUUUUGAGUCUCCGUAUCCAAUGACAAUGGCUCUUUCUGUACUUGUCACCAUAGAGAUGUGCAAUGCCCUCAACAGUCUGUCAGAAAACCAGUCCCUAAUGAGGAUGCCCCCAUGGGAGAAUAUCUGGCUGGUGGGAGCAAUUUGCUUGUCCAUGUCACUCCACUUCCUUAUCCUCUAUGUGGAACCACUGCCGAUUAUCUUCCAGAUCACACCUUUAAACGUGACGCAAUGGCUGAUGGUGUUGAAAAUCUCACUACCUGUCAUUCUGCUGGAUGAAACACUUAAAUACGUGGCCCGUAACUACCUGGAACCUGGUAAAGAUAGUGUGCGGCCUGCCACCAAACCGUGUUCUUUGUCAGCAUGCACCGAAGGAGUUUCCUGGCCCUUUGUGUUCAUUACCCUGCCCUUGGUUAUCUGGCUUUACAGCACAGACACUAACUUUAGCGAUAUGUUCUUGUCUUGACUGACAUGGUGACAGUUUUACAUUCAGAGGAAAAGUUUAACUUAAUCAAUUUUUUUUUUUUAUUGUUUAGAGCAACUUGUCUAUUUCUGCUGAAUUUUCACAUGAACAUAUUUGCUGGUGAUGGAGGUUUCAUAUUCUAGGUUUUGGUUUUGGUUUGUUUUUUUUUUUGCUUUUUCUUCAGUGGGGGCAAUAUAUUCCUCUUUUAUACACAGUUAAAGUGUCCAUUGACAUGUACAGAGAACUAACACUAUUUUAUGCAAAUAUUUUUUUGUAGAUGAAAAGCAUGUACAGUGUUCUGUUCAAUAGUUUAUUCAUCAUGUAAAAAAAAAAGCCAACAAAACAGUUUUUGAGCCAGCGGACACUAUCGAAUGAAAUUGGCAGCAGAUUUUAGGGAAUGAAUGUGUGUUGUCUAAAACUAAAAAGAAAACAAAAGCAUGUAACUGUUUGUCUUCUGCAUGGUCAUCCAAACUUAAUUUGUCAUACGGUCAGGUUUUAUUUUAUCCAUAAGCCAAACUUCCUGCACUGGGUACAGAGCGCUGCUGCCUUGGGCAGCUUUUCUUCUCGGUCUCCCCUCUUCCUGCUCCCUUGCUCUGGGUUCUCGACUGUCCUUGUUUACACCACUUUCUGUAUGAGUUCUGCCUAAUCCUGCUCGUGCAGAAAAUGCCAUUCCAGGUGCAGCCUGCUGGGGUUCUUCCAUCCUCAACACACACAGGUUUUUUGUUUUGUUUUUUUUUAAAGAGAUUAUUUAUUUGUCUAUUGUAUUUUUAUUGUAACAGACCUUGUUUUGCCAGCGUUGCCCAUGAUGCAGGGUUAGGGAGGUCGACUCAAACCUAAACCAAGCCUUUUUAACCGACCCAAUCUGUUUUAUUUCCAAAAGAGGGUUGCCAUUGAUUUUUUUUGUUUGUUUUUUUAAUACCUUACGUGUCAGAUUGUUUCUCCCCCGCCAUUUUUAAGAUCAAAACUUGUAAUAAGACCUGGAAUAAUAAGUUGCACUGCGUAGCUAGAAGUGGGAUUGACCGCACUUAGGGCACUAAUGAUACGGUGUAUACACGGAGUUGCUCUGCUGGCCUGUUGUUAGCCUGAGUUGAAGUGACAAGCUCGUGUGUGUUGUUUGUAAAAUGUGUAAAUAGCACAUGACCAAAUUGAACAUAUUGUAUAGAACUAUUUUUAUUUUGAUGUGGCACUAACCACCUUCAUUAUUACGGUAAAUGUUAAAGCAUGUUUUCAAAUUCAGUCCUGUAUCAACAACGUGUAAGUCAUUAACAGUCCUAACUGUGGUGUUUUUCUCCAAUGCCUUCCAACUUUCAUCGACUAAACAAUACUGGAGUAAUCACUUCCUAAACAAUUUUGCAGAAAUGUGAGGUUGUUGGUUUUUUGUUUUUUUUUUCCUCCCUUUGUUGCGUGCAUGUGUUUUUAGCAACACAUCUCCCCAAAGUGCUGCAUGUAUCAUGUGUAAAGAUUCUUUGCUUCCCCUCCAAACAAAGCUCAUGGUGUUCUCUGUGGAAGAAACGUGUGCUGCCGGUAGGACUUGAGAUGUACAGAGGUUCAAUAGAGCUGACCCAGUUGGGGACUCUCAGAGAAGUUUUGGGUUCUGUGCUGCAUGGAGAAGAACUCGUUGAUCCCCGGAUAAGAAGCGCUGAGCUGUCAGCCUGUUUUCCAUAUUUCCUGUAUGUAAAAUGUCAGUUUAUAAAGUGUACAAUAUUGAAUUAAUGCAUGCCUUGGGUUGUAGACAAAUCUGUAUCGUAUCAUCCGGACGUGCCGCUCUAACAGCUCAUGUACAACGCCAUCCUAGCUAUGAAUCCACAGACAAGACUACGGCUGAAUGUCCAACUGCAAAGCCUCCAGUCCAUCACUUUGGGUUGUGUUUUUUUAUUAUCAUGUGUGCAAAUCGACCUGUUUUGCACUGUAAUAAUGUAACUUAUUGAAGUCUAAGGCAGUGAGACAGAUGUUGGUGCGAUACAAAACAGCAUCAUGCGUCCAUCGAGACGGCAGCAAACGGCUUGGCCAGUUACAACUGCAUGUAAUGACCUCUAGAAGCUGUAAAUAAGAUCGGUUCUCUACUUCCAUGCUGACAGUAAGAAGCAUCACACCUAGUUUCAUUUGUAUCAGGUAAAUAAAUCUAUUCUACAAUACAUCCCUGGCGUGUCAUUUGAUGCACUUUGUUUCCUGCAGGUACCUGAGUGUGUCCUUCAGCCUGUCCUGCCCUUAAUGCCAGGCAGCACACGCUCACACCCAGCACUGCAUUACUGCACUCUUUCCUUCCUUCUAGAACUAUGCAGACGCCGGCUGCUCUUCCAGCACUACGACCUCCUCGCUGCUGUGAUUCCUCCGCGCAGGGGUUUGUGUGUGUGUUUAAGGGACACUGUCAAGUAGUUUGGUCACUCGAGGUUUUGUUUUUUUAAUGCUCCAUUGUUUGUAAAUCCCUCCGGUGAACUUAAAAUAAACAUUUCUUGCCCAA